CAACACCUAACAGAAGCUCAGCCUAAAAAGGGGGUGGGGAGCCCCAUACUCCAUGCUGGAGAUUUAGUACUGGUAAAAUCUCUUCCCUCAUCAUCUUCCUCUCUAGAGCCAAUGUGGAAAGGACCAUAUACCAUGAUUCUAUCAACUCCAUCAGCUGUCACGGUGGCGAGCCUGGACUGCUAGAUGCACCACACGACUCAAGCUCUAGGAGCAGAGACUGCCCUUUACAGUGAGCAACCACCCGAAUACUCCUGUGAAGACACAGAAGACUUAGAGUUCCUAAUCAAAAAGAAAACAAAAUCUUCAGAAAUAUCUUGUUCAGAGAGACAGCAAGAGUCUUCUAUGAAAAAAAAAGAAAAAAAUUUUAACGUGAUCUAUUUUCCUUUAAAAUCUUGGACUACAGAAAAAUUGAAAUUGAGGAAAGUGAGAUAUCAACUUGCUCACUGUGUAAGGCAGAAAAGAAGAUGUCUGUUUCAACAAAAAUAAAGACACUUUAAAAUUUUAAAAUCUUAAAAAUUUAGCUUUUGGGCACACAAUUUUAAGUUGUACUAAAAAUAAAUGCAUACAAUUUUCCUGAUGAAUAAGUACAUAAAAUAGUUUAAGAAAUAUAUGUGUUUUCUUGCAUAUUUUCU
rnacentral:lncRNA from 1 species